GUCACUUUGCCGGAGUGGUUAACGGGAUCGCCUGCUAUCUAGCACACCAGCGGUUGGGCUUUGCCCGCGAGUGUUCGAAUCGCUCAGGUGACG
rnacentral:tRNA from 1 species